rnacentral:rRNA from 1 species
AGCGAACGCUGGCGGCAGGCCUGACACAUGCAAGUCGAACGAACUCUUCGGAGUUAGUGGCGGACGGGUGAGUAACACGUGGGAACGUGCCUUUAGGUUCGGAAUAACUCAGGGAAACUUGUGCUAAUACCGAAUGUGCCCUUCGGGGGAAAGAUUUAUCGCCUUUAGAGCGGCCCGCGUCUGAUUAGCUAGUUGGUGGGGUAAUGGCCCACCAAGGCUACGAUCAGUAGCUGGUCUGAGAGGAUGACCAGCCACAUUGGGACUGAGACACGGCCCAAACUCCUACGGGAGGCAGCAGUGGGGAAUCUUGCGCAAUGGGCGAAAGCCUGACGCAGCCAUGCCGCGUGGAUGAUGAAGGUCUUAGGAUUGUAAAAUCCUUUCACCGGUGAAGAUAAUGACUGUAGCCGGAGAAGAAGCCCCGGCUAACUUCGUGCCAGCAGCCGCGGUAAUAC